rnacentral:RNase_P_RNA from 1 species
GAGGAAAGUCCGGGCUCUAUUUAUAAAUAUAUAGCUUCAUAAAAUGUAGUAUAGGCAACUAUAAGGAUCGUGCCACAGAAAUAUACCGCCUAACUUAUAUAGGUAAGGGUGCAAUGGUUCGGUAAAAGCGUACCAGAUAUAUUGUUAAAAUAUUUGCUAGGUAAACCCCAUAUUUGAGCAAAGAGAUUAGUUUAUGUCUGUUAGUAAUCUUUUUAUAAGUUUUAUCUAUUGCGUAUGUUACUAAUUUUUGAUACUGCAUAAAGUAAUUAAUUUUACUGAAGAUUAAUAAUUACCCUUUUCAUUAUUAAAUUAGAUAAUUUAAUAAUGAAAAGAACCAAACCCGGCUUAU